rnacentral:rRNA from 1 species
UACGUAGGGUGCGAGCGUUGUCCGGAAUUACUGGGCGUAAAGAGCUCGUAGGUGGUUUGUCGCGUUGUUCGUGAAAACUCACAACUCAAUUGUGGGCGUGCGGGCGAUACGGGCAGACUGGAGUACUGCAGGGGAGACUGGAAUUCCUGGUGUAGCGGUGGAAUGCGCAGAUAUCAGGAGGAACACCGGUGGCGAAGGCGGUUCUCUGGGAAUAUCCUGACGCUGAGGAGCGAAAGUGUGGGGAGCGAACAGG